CGAAAGCGUGGGGAGCAAACAGGAUUAGAUACCCUGGUAGUCCACGCCGUAAACGAUGUCGAUUUGGAGGUUGUGCCCUUGAGGCGUGGCUUCCGGAGCUAACGCGUUAAAUCGACCGCCUGGGGAGUACGGCCGCAAGGUUAAAACUCAAAUGAAUUGACGGGGGCCCGCACAAGCGGUGGAGCAUGUGGUUUAAUUCGAUGCAACGCGAAGAACCUUACCUGGUCUUGACAUCCACAGAACUUUCCAGAGAUGGAUUGGUGCCUUCGGGAACUGUGAGACAGGUGCUGCAUGGCUGUCGUCAGCUCGUGUUGUGAAAUGUUGGGUUAAGUCCCGCAACGAGCGCAACCCUUAUCCUUUGUUGCCAGCGGUCCGGCCGGGAACUCAAAGGAGACUGCCAGUGAUAAACUGGAGGAAGGU
rnacentral:rRNA from 1 species